UGGGAAACCUGGACGAAUUCUUCACACAGCUCUCAGUGAACGGACAGGUCCCACAGUUCCAGACGGUCGUCCGAGAUCGUGCGAUGACAAGAGCCUUUUACAUCCUGAGGCUAUAUCUCCCGAGCUUCAGCUCACAACAGUUGUAUCUCUGGUUCCACGUGAGACUGGUUACCGUCCUUGCCAGUUUCACUCCAGAGAUGCUCAACAGCACAAUAUCAAGCAUGAGCUGCGCAAACUACCACGUCGUUGUGGGAGGGAUUGCCAAAGUGUUCCCUGCCAUACCCCUGCUUAGACGACA